rnacentral:rRNA from 1 species
UAGUAACUGCGAGUGAAGCGGGAAAAGCUCAAAUUUAAAAUCUGGCGGCUUUUGGCUGUCCGAGUUGUAGUCUGGAGAAGUGCUUUCCGCGCUGGACCGUGUACAAGUCUCUUGGAACAGAGCGUCAUAGAGGGUGAGAAUCCCGUCUUUGACACGGACUACCAGUGCUUUGUGAUGCGCUCUCAAAGAGUCGAGUUGUUUGGGAAUGCAGCUCAAAAUGGGUGGUAAAUUCCAUCUAAAGCUAAAUAUUGGCGAGAGACCGAUAGCGAACAAGUACCGUGAGGGAAAGAUGAAAAGCACUUUGGAAAGAGAGUUAAACAGUACGUGAAAUUGCUGAAAGGGAAACGCUUGAAGUCAGUCGCGUUGUCCAGAACUCAGCCUUGCUUUUGCUUGGUGCACUUUCYGGUUGACGGGCCAGCAUCAAUUUUGAUUGUUGGAUAAAGGCUGGGGGAAUGUGGCACCUUCGGGUGUGUUAUAGCCCUCGGUCACAUACAACAGUUGGGAUUGAGGAUCUCAGCACGCCUUUAUGGUCGGGGUUCGCCCACGUUCGUGCUUAGGAUGCUGGCAUAAUGGCUUUAAACGACCCGUCUUGAAACACGGACCAAGGAGUCUAACAUGCCUGCGAGUGUUUGGGUGGAAAACCCGAGCGCGUAAUGAAAGUGAAAGUUGAGAUCCCUGUCAUGGGGAGCAUCGACGCCCGGACCUGACCUUCUGUGACGGCUCCGCGGUAGAGCAUGUAUGUUGGGACCCGAAAGAUGGUGAACUAUGCCUGAAUAGGGUGAAGCCAGAGGAAACUCUGGUGGAGGCUCGUAGCGAUUCUGACGUGCAAAUCGAUCGUCAAAUUUGGGUAUAGGGGCGAAAGACUAAUCGAACCAUC